AUUGAACGCUGGCGGCAGGCCUAACCCAUGCAAGUCGAACGAGUGGCGGACGGGUGAGUCAUGUCUGGGAAACUGCCUGAUGGAGGGGGAUAACUACUGGAAACGGUAGCUAAUACCGCAUACCAUCAGAUGUGCCCAGAUGGGAUUAGCUUGUCGGUGGGGUAACGGCUCACCAAGGCGACGAUCCCUAGCUGGUCUGAGAGGAUGACCAGCAACACUGGAACUGAGACACGGUCCAGAAUCCUACGGGAGGCAGCAGGGGGGAAUAGUGCACAAUGGGCGCAAGCCGGAUGAAGCCAUGCCGCGUGUAUGAAGAAGGCCUGCGGGUUGUAAAGUACUUUCAGCGGGGAGGCGUUACCCGCAGAAGAAGCACAGGCUAACUCCGUGCCAGCAGCCGCGGUAAUUC
rnacentral:rRNA from 1 species